AAUGAACGCUGGCGGCGCGCCUAAUACAUGCAAGUCGAGCGAGAAGACGUAGCAAUACGUUUGUAAAGCGGCGAACGGGUGUGGAAUACAUGGGUAACCUACCCUAGAGUGGGGAAUAACUAGCCGAAAGGUUAGCUAAUACCGCGUACGCUCCUUGGACUUCGGUUCAGGGAGGAAAGCGAUGCCGAGGGUAUCGCGCUCUUGGAUGGGCUCAUGUCCCAUCAGCUUGNGGUGAGGUAACGGCUCACCAAGGCUUCGACGGGUAGCUGGUCUGAGAGGACGAUCAGCCACACUGGCACUGCGACACGGGCCAGACUCCUACGGGAGGCAGCAGUAAGGAAUAUUGCGCAAUGGGCGAAAGCCUGACGCAGCGACGCCGCGUGGGGGAUGAAGGUCUUCGGAUUGUAAACCCCUUUCGGGUAGGGAAGAUGGAAUGGGGUACCAUUCGCGGUACCUCCNGAAGCAGCCACGGCUAACUUCGUGCCAGCAGCCGCCGU
rnacentral:rRNA from 1 species